GACUUGAUAUCCUCAAGGUUUGACCGCCUGUUGUCCUAAAGUGAGACAAGACUGUAAAUCUUGAGGUCGCUGGUUCGAUCCCGGCUCGGGGGACCA
rnacentral:tRNA from 1 species